rnacentral:rRNA from 1 species
GCUCAGUAACACGUGGAUAACAUGCCCUAAGGUGGGGGAUAAUCUCGGGAAACUGAGGGUAAUACCCCAUAGGUCUAUUUUGCUGGAAUGCUAAUAGGCCGAAAACUCCGGUGCCUUAGGAUUGGUCUGCGGUCUAUCAGGCUGUAGUGGGUGUAAUGGACCCACUAGCCCGUGACGGAUAUGGGCCUUGAGAGAGGGAGCCCAGAGAUGGACUCUGAGACAUGAGUCCAGGCCCUACGGGGCGCAGCAGUCGCGAAAACUUCGCAAUGGGGGCAACCCCGACGAGGGAAUUCCAAGUGCUAGCACUUUGUGUUAGCUGUUCUCCUGUCUAAAAAACAGGAGGAGUAAGGGGCGGGUAAGACGGGUGCCAGCCGCCGCGGUAAUACCCGCGCCCCAAGUGGUGGUCGAUAUUAUUGAGCCUAAAACGUCCGUAGCCGGUCUUCUAAAUCCUUGGGUAAAUCGGGCAGCUUAACUGUCCGAAGUCCGGGGAGACUGGGAGACUUGGGACCGGGAGAGGUCAGAGGUACUUCUGGGGUAGGGGUAAAAUCCUGUAAUCCUGGAAGGACCACCGGUGGCGAAGGCGUCUGACUAGAACGGAUCCGACGGUGAGGGACGAAGCCCUGGGGCGCAAACGGGAUUAGAUACCCCGGUAGUCCAGGGUGUAAACGCUGCGGGCUUGGUGUUGGGGGUCCUUAGUGGGCGCCCAGUGCCGGAGAGAAGUUGUUAAGCCUGCUGCUUGGGGAGUAUGUCCGCAAGGAUGAAACUUAAAGGAAUUGGCGGGGGAGCAC